rnacentral:lncRNA from 1 species
UGCUGUAAUUUGUUUGGUUAAUUAAUUAGUUAGCUUAUGCUGUAAUUUGUUUGGUUAAUUAAUUAGUUAGCUUAUGUAUUGUAUGGUUUUUAAUUUCUCAACUAGCCUGAUUCCUAGACUGAUUUGUGUAAGAUAUUGUUUAUGUUUUGUUCAUCUAUUUUGUUUAUCUUCUCCCAUUAUUUUUGUUUUUUCCAUUACAGAAAAGGUUUACAUGGCCCCUAACUUUGAACGACAUGGUGCGACGCAACUUUGAAAAACGGAGUGCAGCUAAGAUGUCGCAACUAAUGCAAGAUGCGCGUAAAGAUUUGGAAAAUAAGCCUACUUGGAUGGGAGAGAGAAUGUCGCAGCUAGGAUGUUGGUAGUAAUCAUAUUGAGUAGUAUUUGUUUCUAUUUUGUUAAAUUGGUUGUAUCAUGUACUUGAUUGUACUUAGUUUUUUUUUUUGGAUCAUGUUUUAAUUAAUACUUAGUUAUGAUUUGUGAACAUGAUAUAAAUUUUGUUUAGAAUUAUCACAAUAUGAUUUAUGCACAU